GCAUAUCAAUAAGCGGAGGAAAAGAAACCAACAGGGAUUGCCCUAGUAACGGCGAGUGAAGCGGCAACAGCUCAAAUUUGAAAUCUGGCUCUUUUAGAGUCCGAGUUGUAAUUUGCAGAGGGCGCUUUGGCUUUGGCAGCGGUCCAAGUUCCUUGGAACAGGACGUCACAGAGGGUGAGAAUCCCGUACGUGGUCGCUAGCUAUUGCCGUGUAAAGCCCCUUCGACGAGUCGAGUUGUUUGGGAAUGCAGCUCUAAAUGGGAGGUAAAUUUCUUCUAAAGCUAAAUAUUGGCCAGAGACCGAUAGCGCACAAGUAGAGUGAUCGAAAGAUGAAAAGCACUUUGGAAAGAGAGUCAAACAGCACGUGAAAUUGUUGAAAGGGAAGCGCUUGCAGCCAGACUUGCUUGCAGUUGCUCAUCCGGGCUUUUGCCCGGUGCACUCUUCUGCAGGCAGGCCAGCAUCAGUUUGGGCGGUGGGAUAAAGGUCUCUGACACGUUCCUUCCUUCGGGUUGGCCAUAUAGGGGAGACGUCAUACCACCAGCCUGGACUGAGGUCCGCGCAUCUGCUAGGAUGCUGGCGUAAUGGCUGUAAGCGGCCCGUCUUGAAACACGGACCAAGGAGUCUAACAUCUAUGCGAGUGUUUGGGUGUCAAGCCCGAGCGCGUAAUGAAAGUGAACGGAGGUGGGAACCCGCAAGGGUGCACCAUCGACCGAUCCUGAAGUUUACGGAAGGAUUUGAGUAAGAGCAUGGCUGUUGGGACCCGAAAGAUGGUGAACUAUGCUUGAAUAGGGUGAAGCCAGAGGAAACUCUGGUGGAGGCUCGCAGCGGUUCUGACGUGCAAAUCGAUCGUCAAAUUUGGGCAUAGGGGCGAAAGACUAAUCGAACUAUCUAGUAGCUGGUUCCUGCCGAAG
rnacentral:rRNA from 1 species